UACAGAGACUGCAAGCGUUGUUCGGAAUCACUGGGCGUAAAGGGCGCGUAGGCGGCCCUUCUUGUCGCGUGUGAAAGCCCCGGGCUCAACCUGGGAAUGGCGCGCGAGACGGGGGGGCUGGAGUUCGGGAGAGGAGCGUGGAAUUCCCAGUGUAGAGGUGAAAUGCGCAGAUAUCGGGAAGAACACCCGUGGCGAAGGCGGCACUCUGGGACGGUACUGACGCUGAGACGCGAAAGCGUGGGGAGCGAACAGG
rnacentral:rRNA from 1 species